UACAGAGGUCUCAAGCGUUGUUCGGAUUCAUUGGGCGUAAAGGGCGCGUAGGCGGCCAGCACAAGUCAGUUGUGAAAUCUCCGAGCUUAACUCGGAAAGGUCAACUGAUACUGUGCGGCUAGAGUGCAGAAGGGGCAACUGGAAUUCUUGGUGUAGCGGUGAAAUGCGUAGAUAUCAGGAGGAACACCGGUGGCGAAGGCGGAUCUCUGGGCCAUUACUGACGCUGAGGAGCGAAAGCGUGGGGAGCGAACAGG
rnacentral:rRNA from 1 species